CGAUUUCGUACGCUUGCGAGUUUUGCACAAACAAAUUUUUGGCGGUGUUGCCGAAGAAUAAUUUAUUUGAUUUGUGUUUAUUAGUUAAUUUUAGAUUUGAAGUAUAUUCUUUUCCUUUUCUUUUUUUUUCUUUACUUUAGUUGUUUUAGGCUAUUUAUUGAACUAUCUAAUUCUCUUGCUUCUCUUUUCAGGGAAUCAUAGUUUAUGCAAAAUUUUGACAAGAUCGAGCUUCUUCCAAUAGAUCCCGAAAUUGAAAGAACUUUUAGACAGCUAAGAAGAGAACAGAGACAAUCGAGAGAAAUGACAGAAAAUCAACAUCCGAAUCAAGUUCAAAAUCAUUUACCAUUAUCCUAGCCAGAUCAACCAAGGGCAGCAGCAAAUCAAGAAGAAGUUUUAGUGAAGGAUUACAUAAAUUCUGUGCCAGCUCCUAUGCAACUGGCUAUCAUAUACCUUUUGGACAGGUCAAUUUCCAUAUUAGACUUGACGUUAUCAACUUAUUCCAAAAUCAUCAAGAUAUCAGGUUCUUUAGGAAAUCAAUCGAAAAUCCUCGUGAACAUAUUAAGGCCUUCUUGAUGCUCUGCAAUUUGAUCAGCCACGAAGGAAUGUCUGUGGAUGCUUUUCAACUGCGCCUAUUUCCUCACACGUUAAAGGAGGGUGCGCGAGAAUGAUUAAAUUCUCUAAUUACGGGGAAUAUUGUUUUAUGGAACGACACGGUGCAAAAGUUCACGUUGAAUUUUUUUCGCCGUUUCGAGUCCAUCAUACUAGAAAUGAAAUCCAUACUUUUAAGCAAAAUGACCUUGAGAGCUAUCCAAAAGCGUGGAAAAGAUUCAAAGAUUAUUUCAGGAAGUGCCCCACCUUGAAUAUCACUAAAGAAUCAAAGAUCUGCAUAUUCUAUUCCGGCUUGAGACCUGAAUUUUGCAACAUCGUCGAUGCCUCCACAGGAAGGUCGAUAUUGGAUAUUUCGUUGAAUAAUGCCUUGGACCUUUUUGAGCAAAUUGUAGAAAAUCAAUCGAUGUGACCGAGCAACAGGGAAGUCCAGAGGAAAACAACUGGUACAUAUAAUGUGGAUGCAGUGAUAGCUAUGACAACACAUAUGGAGGCAAUAACUAGAAAGCCUGACACUUUGACCCAUUAUGUGAAUAUGGUACAAACUUUAGCUCCGAAGUGCGUAGGUUAUGGGGUAGACAAACAAAGAGAAAAGAAUAUUGUUUGAUAUUUAAAAAAACUCAGC
rnacentral:lncRNA from 1 species